CUCUUCUUCAGUCAUAUCAGAUGGUUUAAUCAAAUAGCAUAACAGAAGUUCCUUAGAAGCAUUAACAGUUGUUCUGUUCAAGCCAGACAAGGACAUCCAACUCAGUGGUCUGCGAAGAGAACCUUCAAAAUUGUCAUCAACUAAUUCAGCAAUGACAGAGUAACUUGCGUGAUAGAAGGGAGGGCCCUUUCGAUACAGCAGGAGAUCAGUUCCAUACUUCAGUCCAAC
rnacentral:lncRNA from 1 species